rnacentral:rRNA from 1 species
GCGAAAGUGGUGCCAGGGUGAGCGGGAAUACAGAGGGUCCGGGGGUUGUUAGGAGUCACUGGGCGUAAAGGGUGCGCAGGUGGUGAGGUAAGUCGGAUGUGAAAUCUCGGAUGUCAACGCCGAAAUGGCAUUGGAAACUACCUUGCUGGAGGGUUGGAGGGGGGACUGGAAUUCUCGGUGUAGCAGUGAAAUGCGUAGAGAUCGAGAGGAACACCAGUGGCGAAGGCGAGUCCCUGGACAACUCCUGACACUGAGGCACGAAAGCUAGGGGAGCAAACAGGAUUAGAUACCCUUGUAGUC